UAAAAUACCCCAGAGUCUGGUGUUACAAGUCAUGAGUUGCUAAUACAUGGUUUAGAUAGUAAUCUCAAAAUAAAAAUUGUAUGGAAUGAAGAACAUCAAUGAAAAGAUAGAAAAGGAUGCUUGGUGCUGCGAACUAGUCCAAGAAGCUCAGCCUGAAUUCUCCAAACAACUCUGAAGCCCACUCUUAAGCUCCACUGGUGCAAGGAUCAGUCUCUGCAUAAAAAUGCCUAAACGUCGAGAAUGGAUUUGAAGAAUCCUUUCUUCUCCACGCAAACUCAACCACACACAGGGAAAGCAAUUAAAAUUUUAAACUUUAACUAAAUCGAAUAAUUAAAGGUCUCAAAAAUAGAAACCCUAGGUAAUUCUAUUUUUUGAGUAUAUUUCUGAUAUUUCAGUAUGCUCAGAGGUUGUGUAAUAUUGUGAAUUGGAUAGAACCCUAAAAUCUCAAAACCCUAGCUCAUUUUUGAUAUGGGAAUUUUAUAAUUUGAGAAUUUCAU